UCAUUGCAUUGUCGUCAUUUCAGCUAAUUUUGUGACGUUUUCUAAAAAAAGAUUGUCUUAUCCUUCUUUACACUUUCGCGCAGACCAUUGGGCUGAGCUGUGCUUUCUAAAGGGUUGCAGAAAAUAGCGCCUCUUCCUCAACAGGAUCAGUCUCUCUCUCUCUAGACGAUGACAUUUAAUGCAAUGUCUACUAGGAAAAAAAAACGUAUUAGGCGAAGUGUUAAUAUUUAAAUGACAUGAAAUAUCCGACGCCUCCGACUCUGUGAAAUACCAAGCAUCAUGUAGUUUUCAAUGAAUAAAAAUGUCAAACCAACGCCUUGGUAUUUCUGUAUUUCAUUGGAAAGCUCAUAUAUAUUUAUGCAUCUUCCCGCCGUCUUCGAGCAAUUAAAAAGAGUUAUUCGUUUCCUACAGCUGCAACGGCAGAAGGGUCCCGCUCCUAUUUCUCCAAAGGAAAAUACCUAUUCCAAUCUUUUAGAUCUGUUUAACACCGGAAAAUAAAAUGAUCAUCUUGAUGGUCUUGAUCCAAGUUUCUUGUGUCCUCGCCUCGCCACAUUCAGUUUCGGAAGUUCCUUCACUACGAUUUGAAAAGGAACGUUGCAAUUACGAUGGUUACUCACUAAGUGAAGGAGGGUCUUUACGCCUUGGCGAUCCAUGUGUGAAGUUGACUUGUAUGUUUAGCAAAAAAGAAUUGGUGGUCAAUGGAUGUCCUCCUCCCUCGGAUUAUAAUAAUGAAGAAGAAAACGAUCCAGUUGGCGUGAUGUACUGGCCGCAUUGUUGCAAUAAAACGUGAUAGGACGUGAUCUGCAUCAUAUAAGGUGUACAUUGCGUAACCGGCCAUUUUGUAAAUUGUUUCACAAAACUAAAUAAAUUAUUUAUAUCAUGCCCACAGAACGCUUUGCAAUCCAGUUCGUGAUAAAAUUCGUAAAAUUUUAAAA